rnacentral:rRNA from 1 species
UACGUAGGGGGCAAGCGUUUGUCCGGAUUUAUUGGGCGUAAAGAGCGUGUAGGCGGCCAUGCAGGUCCGUUGUGAAAACUGGAGGCUUAACCUCCAGACGUCGAUGGAAACCGUAUGGCUAGAGUCCGGAAGAGGAGAGUGGAAUUCCUGGUGUAGCGGUGAAAUGCGCAGAUAUCAGGAAGAACACCCGUGGCGAAAGCGGCUCUCUGGAACGGUACUGACGCUGAGACGCGAAAGCGUGGGGAGCGAACAGG